rfam:Populus trichocarpa scaffold_15_contig_36, whole genome shotgun sequence.
GUGAGUUGUGUGAUUGGAAACCUUCCCGCAUGGUUUAGAGAGCACUGAAUUAGAAUGAGAGGUUCACCACCAUAUUACUGCAUGCAAUGGGAGCUCGCUUGAUUCGCAAAUUGGUCUGACUUGUAAUUCACUUCUGACUCCGU